UACGUAGGGUCCGAGCGUUGUCCGGAAUUAUUGGGCGUAAAGAGCUCGUAGGCGGUCUGUCGCGUCUGCUGUGAAAACCUGGGGCUUAACUCCGGGCCUGCAGUGGGUACGGGCAGACUAGAGUGCGGUAGGGGAGACUGGAAUUCCUGGUGUAGCGGUGGAAUGCGCAGAUAUCCGGAGGAACACCAGCGGCGAAGGCGGCAUCCUGGACUGGGUCCUGACGCUCAGGAGCGAAAGCGUGGGGAGCGAGUCCGG
rnacentral:rRNA from 1 species